CCUACGGGUGGCUGCAGUGGGGAAUAUUGGACAAUGGGGGCAACCCUGAUCCAGCCAUGCCGCGUGUGUGAAGAAGGCCCUCGGGUUGUAAAGCACUUUCAGUGAGGAAGAACGCCUGGUGGUUAAUACCCAUCAGGAAAGACAUCACUCACAGAAGAAGCACCGGCUAACUCCGUGCCAGCAGCCGCGGUAAUACGGAGGGUGCGAGCGUUAAUCGGAAUUACUGGGCGUAAAGCGCGCGUAGGUGGCUUGAUAAGCCGGUUGUGAAAGCCCCGGGCUCAACCUGGGAACGGCAUCCGGAACUGUCAAGCUAGAGUGCAGGAGAGGAAGGUAGAAUGUCCGGUGUAGCGGUGAAAUGCGUAGAGAUCGGGAGGAAUACCAGUGGCGAAGGCGGCAUUCUGGACUGACACUGACACUGAGGUGCGAAAGCGUGGGUAGCAAACAGGAUUAGAUACCCGAGUAGUC
rnacentral:rRNA from 1 species